rnacentral:rRNA from 1 species
UACGGAGGUUCCAAGCGUUGUUCGGAUUUACUGGGCGUAAAGGGAGCGCAGGCGGACGGGUCUGUCCAAAGUGGAAGCCCGGGGCUCAACCCCGGAAAGCCUUUGGAUACUGCCCGUCUUGAGUACGUGAGAGGAAGGCGGAAUUCAGGGUGUAGCGGUGAAAUGCUUAGAUAUCCUGAGGAACACCGAUGGCGAAAGCAGCCUUCUGGCACGCUACUGACGCUCAUGCUCGAAAGCGUGGGGAGCGAACGGG